rnacentral:lncRNA from 10 species
CCAGAAUUAGUUUUGCAACUUGGUUCAAAAAUACGGAACACAGAUUCUGCAAAAUGAAGUUCACCUCAAGAACAUAUUCAAAAUCUAUUACCUUGAAGCCUGAUGCUGUCAGUGCAGAUGGAAUAACCUGACAGCUGGUGGUCAAGAUAUCCUGGUAUUCAUGAUGCUGGUGAAGUUGAAUAGCUGAACUGUACUUUGAUUGGUAAGAAAAUGAUGUCUCAAGACACUGCAUCUUAUCCACCAUUACUCAUUAAUUGCCUCAGAAAUUUUAGCUAAUUUUUAAAUGCAAAUAACUGAUAUAGUUUCUACAUUGUUUU